GUAGGGUAGCCUUGUGGUGAGGGUGUUGGACUCUAAAGUUCUGGGUUCAAAAAGGUUCUGGGUUCGAUCCCCAAUGUCUACA